UGUAAUCAUCUGCCAGAGAGUGGCCCCAAUCGUCCCGAGCCCCAAGUAAUACAUUUGGGUCAGAUAACUCACACCGGAAUCAGCCCGAGCCCCAAGUAAUGCAUUUGGGCCAGAUAACUCACACCGGAUUCGGCCCGAGCUCAAUCCCCGCAUCCUCGGGCCACAUGAUUUCGGCCGAGUCUGACUCAGCCGAGUGCCCCGACACACAGCCGGAAUCCGCCCAGAUCCACUGUGCUAGCUGGGGUGGGACAAUAUUCCACAGGCCACAAUCGACAGCUUGAUCAACACUAUGCAAAGGAGAAGUGUCCCAGAGAAGGAGCAGCAGCAGCAGGAGCAGCAGCAGGAGAGGGCAGGAGCAGCAACAGCAGCAGGAGCAGCAGGAGAGGGCAGGAGCAGCAGCAGCAGCUACCCCCUUCUCAUGUAAUGGGGUAGGGCCAACCCAAGGAUCCCGAAAUGCACGGACUGUGUUAGUGGGGGAACAGGAAGUUCCCGACAGGCACGCACCAUUCUUCAGAAUUUUAAAAAAGCGCCAGAACUGUGCAGUUAAGAAGGUAACUUUUGUGCCCGUUUAAUUUUAUUACUACAGGUACGUAAUAGCACGUUUAAAAGUUCCAUGCUAGGUAACAAAUCCAUUAAAUUAUUAUCACGUUUGGUAAAGGUUUGAUGUGUUAUUUUUGUGUCAAACCGAGUGGAGAACGUGGUGACAAACUAUUUUACAAGUCACGUAACUAGAGACGUUGGUGUUAGUGUUAGUCUUAGUGGAUGUACAUAUUCUGCUCAGGUUCAAUUUCAUAAAUAAUCAAUUUAUUUGAGAUUUCCGAGCUUCAUGUUAUCGGUUUUGUGUAAAAUUCACACGCUGUGAAAAUGGCGGCGCCGACUCGGACUGGGUCAACGGACUAAAGUGCAGACAAUGUUACGGUUGCGCUACUGUUUUGAAGCUGAAUGUAUGAGGCUAGUAACAUCAACAGUGAGGACAAACCCAGCCCUCCUCUCUCCUUCUGCACUGAGUCCAAACCUACAGUCGCUGGGUCCUGAUUGCGACAGUGGAGCCCAGUUUGCACUGCAGGGUCCAGAGAUGGCAUCAGUGAAGUUGGAGGACUGCAGUCAAACCCUGGAGCUGAAUGUCAACAUUAAAGAUGAAGAAGAGGAGGAGAAGAUUGGGACAUCUGUUUCUCAUGUACUUGCCGACUCUGGUAUGAGGCCGGUAACAUCAACAGUGAGGACAAACGCAGGCCUCCUCUCUCCUUCCACACUGACUCUAAACCUACAGUCACUGGGUCCUGAUUGUGACAGUGGAGCCCAGUUUGCACUGCAGGAUCCAGAGAUGGCAUCAGUGAAGCUGGAAGACUGCAGUCAAACACUGGAGCUGAAUGUCAACAUGAAAGAUGAAGAAGAGGAGGAGAAGAUUGGGACAUCUGUUUCUCAUGGUAAGAGCAGGUUCUAACUAACUAAGUUUGUGUUUUUCAUUCCAACUUCCCACUGUGUAUGAACAGUUGCAGUAGAACUGUUUCAUGAUGAACUGUUUCAAUGAGAAGGUAGAUGUUAUUUCAUGCUACUGAGACUUGCAUGGUUUGACACCAGCACCAGAGAGGAGACUAAAGAGGUGAAGUAGACAAACUGCCAGUGUUUUAAAGUUCUAUGAAACAAAACCUGAGAUACUUUUAGAAUAGUU
ensembl:lncRNA